rnacentral:lncRNA from 1 species
AGAAAUAGUGAAAAAUCGGUAGAAAGAAAGGAAGAAAAGAAGAAGAAAAUAGAAGAAAGGGAGGAAAAAUGAAAUUGGAAAAAGGAAGGAAGAAAAAAAUAGGAAAGUUUCGCCUAUGUUGUUAGAAAAUAAGUGGUCUACACAAUUAGACUUGAAUUCCUCAAUUUUGAAAGGUAAGUAAAAAGCUACUUAUUAUCAAGUUAUGUUUAAUUUUAUAAUUAUUAGAUUGUUUGAUUAAAUUAAAUUUUAUUGAAUGGGUUAAGUAUAUAAGCUAUGAAAUUGAGUAAAAUGAUAGAAAAAAUUGUUUUAGUAAUUAAAGAGACUUUAGAAAUCGCUUAAAUGUGAAAUGAUUAAGUUUGAAUAUCGCCUAUUUAAUUAUUGAGAUUACUUAAAAUAGUUAAUUGUUAAUUUAAAAAUUAUAUCAUAUUUCAGGCGCCGAUACGAAUAUCGAGACAUCUUACCAACCGAGUUAAUUUUGGCGAACAUAAUUCUGUGAGUGUAAAAAUAUAAAUAUUUUUAAAGUAUUUAUAAAUUAAGUAUAUUGUUAAAGUAUGUGGAAUUAUAUGCAAUUUUGUGUUAGAAAUUACAUGGUUAUUAUGAAAAUAUAUUUUAUUAUGAUACAUGUGGGAUUUCAAAGAUUGUAUACUGUAUAUUGUGAAUUGGGAUAUGAGAUAUGAUUUUGAGAUCGAUCAAAAAAGUACCAUUGAUUAUAUAUUUCUUCUAGUUCACAGAGGGGUAUUGGCCGUAUUCUAUACUACACUGAGGGGUCGACUGGGAAUGAAAGGGUCAUGACCGUGUAUAUGUAGUUCACCGAGGGGCCUUGACCGUAUUCUAGAGUUGAUUAGUAGAGGUCUUGAGACCUGCUUUCGUUCACGGAGGGGUCAAAGGCUUGUGGCGAAAGUUCUUAGCCCGAGAGGUGGAUUACAAAUUUUAGUUAGAGGGUACAUUUUUGGCAAAUUUUUCAGUAUAUUUGAUGUGAUGAGAUUAUAACAUGAUUACCAGCUUAUGUUUAUAUCAUGACUUGAAAUGAUAUUUUACCACGUUAUGGGAAUGUAUCACGUUUUGGUUAUAUUUAUAUGAUGUUAUCUUGCGAAAAAAGUAUAAUUAUUUUUGAACUUCUCUACUCACUGAGCUAUCAAUUCAUAUAUUUUCCCAUAAUUUUCCUACAAGUGGAAAUUGAUUCUUUUUAGUUGGGAGAGCCUAAUGAUUUUGGAAUGAGAGUCACACGACACAUUGAGUGUUAUAAUUCAUAUUGACGAAACACGAAGUAAAUAAUUUGGGCCCACGCAUUAUAUUUUACAUAAGC